AUUGAACGCUGGCGGCAGGCCUAACACAUGCAAGUCGAGCGAGCGGCGGACGGGUGAGUAAUGUUUGGGGAUCUGCCCGUUAGAGGGGGAUAACUACGGGAAACGAUGUGUAAUACGGCACACUGGCGGAUUAACCCAGAUGGGAUUAGCUAGUAGGUCAGGUAAUGGCUUACCGAGGCGACGAUCCCCAGAUGGUCUGAGAGGAUGAUCAGCCACACUGGGACUGAGACACGGCCCAGACGCCUACGGGAGGCAGCAGUGGGGAAUAUUGGACAAUGGGCGAAAGCCUGAUCCAGCAAUGCCGCGUGUAUGAAGAAGGUCCUAGGGUCGUAAAGCACUUUCAGUAGGGAGGCGUUACCGACAGAAGAAGCACCGGCUAACUCCGUGCCAGCAGCCGCGGUAAUAC
rnacentral:rRNA from 1 species